rnacentral:rRNA from 1 species
CCUAGGGGAGGCAGCAGUGGGGGAUAUUGCACAAUGGGGGGAACCCUGAUGCAGCGACGCCGCGUGAGGGAUGAAGGUCUUCGGAUCGUAAACCUCUGUCAGCAGGGAAGAACGGUCACUGUGCUAAUCAGCAGUGAAUUGACGGUACCUGCAAAGGAAGCACCGGCUAACUCCGUGCCAGCAGCCGCGGUAAUACGGAGGGUGCGAGCGUUAAUCGGAAUUACUGGGCGUAAGGGGCUCGUAGGCGGUAUGUCAAGUCAAGGGGGAAAUCCCCGGGUUCACGGGGGGCACUGCCUUUGAAACUGGCAAACUGGAGUGUGUGAGAGGAUAGAGGAAUUCCAGGUGUAGGAGUGAAAUCCGUAGAUAUC